GGGCCGUUAGCUCAGUUUGGCAGAGCACCGGACUUUUAAUCCGGGUGUCGUGGGUUCGAGCCCCACACGGCCCACCA
rnacentral:tRNA from 2 species